GGGUCAGUAGGUUGGUCGUGCCACCGGUACGUACUGGUCUCACUGAUUCCUCCUUCCUGAAGAACCGUAAUGCCAUUAAUUUGGUGUUGCGGGGAAACAGGACUGUUACUUUGAAAAAAUUAGACUGUUUAAAGCAAGCUAACGCUUGAAUACAUUAGCAUGGAAUAAUGAAAUAGGACGAUCGAUCCUAUUUUGUUGGUUUCUAGGAUUGACGUA
rnacentral:rRNA from 1 species